CUGAAAGUGAGCUGGGGGAAGGAAACAUUCCCAAAUUGUACAGCAUGCACAGAGAGACGGGUGUGAUUCACCAGCGUGUGAGCUGCAGCAUAGCAGAUGCUGUUAUGGCUCCCUGCUGAGGCAGCUUAGGCUCUCUAGCAUCAGGGGGAAGAGGCAGAUUUUGGGGGUGCAGGGAGUGAUCUGCCGUCUUGGAAGGCCCUUCCCUCACAGAGACCAGGAAAACAGCCCCGGGGGCCCCGUGGUCUUUUGGGGUGACACACUUCUGGCCUUCAGCUGCGUGGCUGCCGGGGGGGUGGGUAGGGUGAGCAGGAGUCUGAGACGUGAUUGUGCCGGGACGCCUGUAGUGAGAGGAGCUUAUUCCUGAAAGAAAACGGUAGAGAUGAAGGCCAUCUGGGCUGAGGGAAAUCUUGCAGACUAAUGCCUAGAAAGAUUUAGUGUUACUUUAUACAGGGAAAAUGCACAGAGGAGACCUUGUAUGUCAGCAAAGCCUUGUGAGAUGUUACUUACUUUAGGCAACAUGAAAAACACUCCAAUAUCAGCAUCCUGGCUGUGAUGUGUCCAUGUUCCACCAGGGACAAACCCCACCCUGAUGGCUUGCUGGCCCACCUGUCUGCAGCCGUCUUGCCAUAGCUCAGGACUGCGUCUUCAGUUCCAAAUCUGCCUCAAGCCUCCUGCCUGCUGCCCCUCUUCACCUCGGCCUGCCUGCCUGAUCAACACUCAGAUCUUCUCCACUGCAAUCUCAAGUCCUAAACAUGAGGGCAGCAUGUUCACAGCCUGGUCACACUAAUGUUUGAUAUUGUGUCUGGUGUGUUUGAACAGUGGGUGUUUGUUCAGAGGCGAUGUGACAUAUAAAGAAAGAAGGAAAACAGAGAAUGAAACUACUGCCCAUAAAUUUACAAUAGAAUCAUAGAAUCAUAGAAUCAUUUCAGUUGGAAGAGACCCUCAGGAUCAUUGAGUCCAAACAUAACCUAACUCUAGCACUAAACCAUGUCCCUAAGAACCUUGUCUAAAUGCCUUUUAAACACCUCCAGGGAUGGUGACUCUGCCACUUCCCAAUGCCUGACAAACCCUUCCGUGAAGAAUUUUUUCCUAAUAUCCAAUCUAAAUCUCCCCUGGCACAACAUGGGGCCAUUUCCUCUUGUCCUAUCACUUGCUACUUGGGAGAAGAGACCAACACCCUCCCUGCUACAACCUCCUUUCAGGUAGUUGUAGACAGCAAUAAGGUCUCCCCUCAGCCUCCUUAUCUCCAGGCUAAAUAGCCCAGGUUCCCUCAAACACUCCUCAUAGGACUCCAGACCCAUCACCAGCUUUAUCACCCUCCUCUGCACUCUCUCCAGCACCUUAAUGUCCUUCUGAUGAUGAGCGGCUCAAAACUGAACACAGGAUUCAAGGUGUGGCCUCACCAGCACCGAGUUCAGUGGCACAAUCACUUUCCUUGUCCUGUUGGCCGCAGUUUCUUAUACAAGCCACGAUGCUGUUGGCCUUUUAGGCCACCUGGGCACACUGCUGGCUCAUAUUUAAUCUUUUUCCUUGUUUUUAAUUGAGUAGUUUUACACCACCUUUGUUUAAACAAGAAGGCUGUGAAGAGCUCUUUGGAACAGAGAGUUACUGCAGCUUAACAAGUCAGCUCUCUCUUUAUGUGCAACUGUCAAGGCAAACGUGAUGGUGCUUUAAAACUGAUAAAUUUUACUUAACAAAUACUAUGCUCAAGGUUAAUUACCAAGGUUCAUCUGAUGAACUAAGACAACAAUUUAUUCAAUUUUUCUCCUUAGUCCUCAAUGUCAACACAUUGUCUACCUGCUCAUCUGUUGCUGAUACAUGACGGGUUAAGCCAAGAAACUUCCCAGCCUAAUGAUGUGAGUUGCAAGAGCUUGUACUAAUGGAGACCUGGACUUCAAAUGUUGUAACAACUCAUAUCCUCUGUGGAUUAAUGUAUCCAGGGGACAUUAACAGACAUUCACUGGAGGGCUGUAUGUGCAUUCAGGCAUAGGUUACUGUCUUUCUUACUUUCAUCAGUUAAUAUAAACUUGACAAUAUUGAUCAAACUUAUUAACUUUCUCACCUCUUUUAUUAUCUUAUUUAUGUGGGUUGUAAGUGCUUUGGCCCAUGGAAAGUCUAUUGUUUUCAAUUAAGGCUGUUUGCACUGGCCUCAGCUGCACCUUUAGAUAACAUUGCUAUAUGACAUUAUAAAGUCAUGAUUACCAGUGACGGAUGGGAUGAAUCCUGUUCCGUAUAAGUAGCUAUGUAAAACUGUAUGUGCUGCCAGACAGAAAGUGGCUAAGGCCUGCUCAUGUUCUGAUAAAGAGUGUACCUGGAUUUUAGCUGGGACUUAGUGUGGUCCUGCUUUAGAGAUUUACAGGAAUUUUAUCAAGGCAUGAAAUACACCAAUUAAUCCUUCUGGUUGGAGCCCACUGAGAUCUCUCCAGUUAUUUAAAAAGUGCAUGGUGACUUCAGCUAGUCAUCACUCUUCUCAAAGAAAUACUCAAAGUAGCUGAAAUGUGAGAAUGCCAUGUAAAAAUGUGCUUUGAGAUCUUUCUCAGUUAUCAAACAAGUAUCUUCACUACUGUAAGUGCUGUAAUUCUUGAUCAUUUGAGUGCGUUGCCAUCUCUAGUAAACAUUUUAGUGGUGGUAUUAACUUUGUAUGUCAUCCUUAUUUUCUCCAAAAGAGACUGCUAGCCACAUGAAUGAUGGUGCAUUGGUCCAAUACUAUGCGUGUAUGUAUUGAAUGGUGAGAUCAAAAUAAUCAAAAUAGACAGUACUAUUAAUAACAUCUCCAACACUUUAAUUAUAUCCUUGUUAAAGCUGACAAAUCUGGGCAGGACAUAUUGCAACAUGCAGCCUGAUCACAUCUGGAGAACUGAUGCUUGUUUCUCCUCUGACUCUCCCCUUAUCCCAUGGGAGGUGAGCAGCUGUGCAAACACUCGGAGCCCUGGAUCCAAAUGCAUUUAUUCAUGAGAGGCUGUUCUUCUCAUUGCCCACCCUUUUCAAGAUGGUGACUAUAUAAUUCUGUUUGCAUACUGAAACACAGUGCUCUUGUAAAAUGACUAAAAUCUCAGGGAAUUGUUAGCAAAAUCUAUUUUGACAGAGUCACCUCUGUCUUCUUUUAGAGUUAUUUCUUCCAUUAAUUAAUAUAUAACCUUCUGUUAUUUGGGUCUCUGUUUCCUGUGAGCAACUGUAAUUAACUAAGUUCUUAUUUGAAGAGGAGGAUGUAUUUUCUAUCUAUUUUUCUUACAUUAAGAACAACCAAAAAAACCCUCUUCUGGCAUCAAGGAUCCUAUACUUUCAUGAAUUGUAAUCAAGAAGUUUCUCUUUAUGUACGCUUUUUCCUUCCGCCCAUUUUUUUACAGUUGAAUGCAGUGAAGAAAAUAGUCAGUUCUGGAGAAAGGCCAGUCCUGUCACUGUUAUGUACUUACCAAUUCUUUGAAAUUAAAGCUGUCAUUGUGUAUGGCCCAAGUGUAAGAAUGCCAGUUCAUUCUGACACACACCAAUUACAGGAUUUCUAAUUAUUUUCCCUUGUAAAUGACUUGAGUUUCAUGGGUGAUGGACAAGGAUGUUAAAAAAUGUUGUAUUAAAGUUGUGUUUUAACGGAUUGGUUUGCAUUCAACAAAGAAAACAUUUUUGCAUGAAAGUUCUGAGUUUUCCCAAAUAAUUUUAGCACUUGUAAUUUGGAAACAACAAUAAAUCCAUUAAUAU